GAAUCACAAAUUAGAUUAAGUGUUUAUUAGAGUUAAUAGAGUUAUAAUAGAGAUUACAAUUACAAUUACAAUAGAGUUAAGUGUUUCAAUUACAAUAGAGGUAAGUGUUUUACAAUUUUUUUUGUUGAACAAUAUUGGAAAUAUCUAAAGUCUUACCUUUUGGUCGAGGUGUCGAAUUCAAAGUAGUAUCUUCUUCCCAAUAAUUUCUCGAUAAUGGAAUAAGUUGGUUCAACUGAGAAGAAACAGGAACAUUACUCGAUGAUGGACGAUUCGGGUCGUUGCUUGUAGCAUUAGCCUGAAAAUAAAUGAAGAUAUUCAAAAAUUAAUAAAUUUAAAAAUUAAUUUAAAAACAUUUAUUAAACUCACAUGUAUAUUGUCAAUUAACCGUUGUUCCAUCAUUUUAUUUAUUACAUGCCUUGCAUUUUUAAAAGAUUUUCAUGGGGCCGGGAUUCAUGGGUUGCAUUUUAUUUAUUAUAUUCACAUUAUAUUUAUUUGGAUUUUUAAAAAAGAAAGAAAAAUACCUAUGAAAGUCGCCGACAAUAGAUGAGGAGAUGAAGAUAUGCAGUCCGGCGUAAAUUUGAGAAUGUAGAGAUAACAUCUGAAAACAAAAAGACGAAACAAAAAAAUAAAAUUAAACUUGAACUAAUAAGAAGACGAAACCAAUUUAAUGAGAAUAUGAUUUUCUGUGAUACCAUUUGUUAUUUAGAAUCUUAAUACAUGUGAAUGAUGGGAUUGUCUACUCUAAUACAAGAUGGAUGGAUUAUGGAUAGAUGGAUAAAAAACACGAUGUUUUGUGGGGUAUACUUCCUUACAUUGGUUAUAUGUUUUAUAUUUUUUUAGAGAGAUAUUUUCAGUUUAUAAAAUAUUUAAAGUUAGCAGAUCCUUGCUUUUUUCUAGAAAAUUUUGUAUUCAUUCCUUUUUAUAGUUUUAUAUAUUGAUAAUACAUUUCCUUUUAAAUUUAAUUGAUUGAAAUUAAGAAAUGCAUAUAGAUAUCUAAUGAUGGUGAUGGUGAUGUCUAAAUGAUAAUGAACAAAUAAUUUAUUACUGUUAAUCUAAUGAUAUGGUGUGCAUAUUUUUUUGACAGGAAUGGUCUAUCAGCACCCACAGAAGACAAAAAGAAAGCAUAUGAGCAAACAACCUCAGAUGAUAUAUUGACAAUAAGAGAAGAGAAAGUAUUUAGACUAUGGAUCAACAGUCUUGGGAUUGAAUCAUACGUCAAUAAUGUCUUCGAAGACGUUAGAAAUGGGUAAAUAAUUUAUAAUUUAACAAUCAGAAAUUCAGAUGGUUGGAAAUGACAAGAGGUGGCAAUCUAAUAUCAUAUUUAAUGUGAGCAGAUGGGUACUUCUCGAAGUACUUCAUAAAGUAUAUCCAGGAUCAGUGAUUUGGAAGCACGCUUCAAAGCCUCCAAUAAAAAUGCCAUUCAGAAAAGUUGAGAACUGCAAUCAGAUUAUUCGGAUCGGAAAAGAGUUGAAUUUCUCUCUUGUUAAUGUUUGUGGGAAUGAUAUUGUCCCACAAACAAUAUUCGGAAGAAAUGAAGGAUUGAAGAAACUUGGUGUGUAAUACUUGGUGGAUUGAAGAAAUUAGAUUAUUCGGAAGGAAACAAGAAGUUGACACUUGGUGUGUAAUACUUGGUGGAUUGAAGAAAUUAGAUUAUUCGGAAGGAAACAAGAAGUUGACACAAUAAUCAAUAAUACUUGGUAGAUUGAAAUGAACGAUUGAAAUGAACGAUUAAGAAAUGAACGAUUGAAGAACAUUACCUCCGGCGAAAAAUCUGGCGAGAAGGAGAGUUGAGAAAAAUCCGGCGAGAAGGAGAGCAAAUCCGGCGAGAAGGAUUUGGG
rnacentral:lncRNA from 1 species